CACGCCCUAAACGAUGCCUACUAGGUCGUAGAAGUUCUGACACUUUUAUGGCCGAAGCAAAAGUGUUAAGUAGGCCGCCUGGGGAGUACGGUCGCAAGGCUAAAACUCAAAGGAAUUGACGGGGGCUCACACAAGCGGUGGAGCAUGUGGAUUAAUUCGAAGCAACGCGCAGAACCUUACCUAGGUUUGACAUGCUUGGAUGCCUUACUGGAAACAGUGGAGGUUGCCCGCAAGGGUGAAACUUGCACAGGUGC
rnacentral:rRNA from 1 species